rnacentral:misc_RNA from 1 species
UACGGAGGGUGCAAGCGUUGUCCGGAAUUAUUGGGCGUAAAGCGCACGUAGGCGGCCCUUUAAGUCUCUCUGUGAAAUGCCGGGGCUCAACCCCGUGCCCGCAGGGGAUACUGGAGGGCUGGAGACAGGUAGAGGCGAGCGGAAUUUCGGGUGUAGCGGUGGAAUGCGUAGAGAUCCGAAAGAACACCGGAGGCGAAGGCGGCUCGCUGGACCUGAUCUGACGCUGAGGUGCGAAAGCGUGGGGAGCGAACAGG